GUUGAACGCUGGCGGUAUGCUUAACACAUGCAAGUCGAACGGUAGCAGGCCUUCGGGCGCUGACGAGUGGCGGACGGGUGAGUAACGCGUAGGAAUCUGCCUCAUAGUGGGGGACAACGUGUGGAAACGCACGCUAAUACCGCAUACGCCCUACGGGGGAAAGCGGGGGACCUUCGGGCCUCGCGCUAUGAGAUGAGCCUGCGUUAGAUUAGCUAGUUGGUAGGGUAAAGGCCUACCAAGGCGACGAUCUAUAGCUGGUCUGAGAGGACGAUCAGCCACACUGGGACUGAGACACGGCCCAGACUCCUACGGGAGGCAGCAGUGGGGAAUAUUGGACAAUGGGCGCAAGCCUGAUCCAGCAAUACCGCGUGUGUGAAGAAGGCCCUAGGGUUGUAAAGCACUUUCAAUAGGGAGGAAAACCUGUCGGUCAAUACCCGGCAGCUUGACAUUACCUAUACAAGAAGCACCGGCUAACUCCGUGCCAGCCGCCGCAGUAAGAC
rnacentral:rRNA from 1 species